rnacentral:rRNA from 1 species
AUGCAGUCGAGCGGUAGCACAGGGGAGCUUGCUCCCUGGGUGACGAGCGGCGGACGGGUGAGUAAUGUCUGGGAAACUGCCUGAUGGAGGGGGAUAACUACUGGAAACGGUAGCUAAUACCGCAUAACGUCGCAAGACCAAAGAGGGGGACCUUCGGGCCUCUUGCCAUCAGAUGUGCCCAGAUGGGAUUAGCUAGUAGGUGGGGUAAUGGCUCACCUAGGCGACGAUCCCUAGCUGGUCUGAGAGGAUGACCAGCCACACUGGAACUGAGACACGGUCCAGACUCCUACGGGAGGCAGCAGUGGGGAAUAUUGCACAAUGGGCGCAAGCCUGAUGCAGCCAUGCCGCGUGUGUGAAGAAGGCCUUCGGGUUGUAAAGCACUUUCAGCGAGGAGGAAGGUGGUGAGCUUAAUACGCUCAUCAAUUGACGUUACUCGCAGAAGAAGCACCGGCUAACUCCGUGCCAGCAGCCGCGGUAAUACGGAGGGUGCAAGCGUUAAUCGGAAUUACUGGGCGUAAAGCGCACGCAGGCGGUUUGUUAAGUCAGAUGUGAAAUCCCCGGGCUCAACCUGGGAACUGCAUUUGAAACUGGCAAGCUAGAGUCUCGUAGAGGGGGGUAGAAUUCCAGGUGUAGCGGUGAAAUGCGUAGAGAUCUGGAGGAAUACCGGUGGCGAAGGCGGCCCCCUGGACGAAGACUGACGCUCAGGUGCGAAAGCGUGGGGAGCAAAACAGGAUUAGAUACCCUGGUAGUCCACGCUGUAAACGAUGUCGAUUUGGAGGUUGUGCCCUUGAGGCGUGGCUUCCGGAGCUAACGCGUUAAAUCGACCGCCUGGGGAGUACGGCCGCAAGGUUAAAACUCAAAUGAAUUGACGGGGGCCCGCACAAGCGGUGGAGCAUGUGGUUUAAUUCGAUGCAACGCGAAGAACCUUACCUACUCUUGACAUCCAGAGAACUUUCCAGAGAUGGAUUGGUGCCUUCGGGAACUCUGAGACAGGUGCUGCAUGGCUGUCGUCAGCUCGUGUUGUGAAAUGUUGGGUUAAGUCCCGCAACGAGCGCAACCCUUAUCCUUUGUUGCCAGCGGUUCGGCCGGGAACUCAAAGGAGACUGCCAGUGAUAAACUGGAGGAAGGUGGGGAUGACGUCAAGUCAUCAUGGCCCUUACGAGUAGGGCUACACACGUGCUACAAUGGCGUAUACAAAGAGAAGCGACCUCGCGAGAGCAAGCGGACCUCAUAAAGUACGUCGUAGUCCGGAUUGGAGUCUGCAACUCGACUCCAUGAAGUCGGAAUCGCUAGUAAUCGUAGAUCAGAAUGCUACGGUGAAUACGUUCCCGGGCCUUGUACACACCGCCCGUCACACCAUGGGAGUGGGUUGCAAAAGAAGUAGGUAGCUUAAC